GACGAACCGUGCGAACGUUAUUCGGAAUCACUGGGCUUAAAGCGCGUGUAGGCGGCGGCACGUCGCCGUGAAAGCCCCCGGCUCAACCGGGGAACGGGCGGUGAUACGGCCGGGCUGGAGGGGGUAGGGGAUCGGGAACUUCCGGUGGAGCGGUGAAAUGCGUUGAGAUCGGAAGGAACGCCCGCGGCGAAAGCGCGGUCCUGGACCCCACCUGACGCUGAGACGCGAAAGCCAGGGGAGCGAACGGG
rnacentral:rRNA from 1 species